GAUGAACGCUGGCGGCGUGCCUAAUACAUGCAAGUCGAGCGAACGUACGAGAAGCUUGCUUCUCUGAUGUUAGCGGCGGACGGGUGAGUAACACGUGGAUAACCUACCUAUAAGACUGGGAUAACUUCGGGAAACCGGAGCUAAUACCGGCUAAUAUUUUGAACCGCAUGGUUCAAAAGUGAAAGACGGUCUUGCUGUCACUUAUAGAUGUAUCCGCGCUGCAUUAGCUAGUUGGUAAGGUAACGGCUUACCAAGGCAACGAUGCAUAGCCGACCUGAGAGGGUGAUCGGCCACACUGGAACUGAGACACGGUCCAGACUCCUACGGGAGGCAGCAGUAGGGAAUCUUCCGCAAUGGGCGAAAGCCUGACGGAGCAACGCCGCGUGAGUGAUGAAGGUCUUCGGAUCGUAAAACGCUGUUAUUAGGGAAGAACAUAUGUGUAAGUAACUGUGCACAUCUUGACGGUACCUAAUCAGAAAGCCACGGCUAACUACGUG
rnacentral:rRNA from 1 species